ensembl:lncRNA
GGGGGUUUGUCCUCCGAGCUGGGGUUGUGCCCGCCGCAGGGGUCCUGAGCACCCCGCUCCCAGGGUUUGAGCACUGGUGCUAUGGGCUGCGGCUGAGGGAGAUGGGAUGGUUCGGUCUGGAGAGGAGGAGGCUCGGGGGAGAGCUCGUUGUGCUCUGCACUCUCUGAAAGGAGGCUGUGGCGAAGUGGGGGUUGGGCUUUUUUUUCUCAGGUAACAGCGAUAGGAUGAGAGGGAACGGCCUCAAGUUGUGCCAGGGAGGUUCAGGUUGGACAUUGGGAAAAAUUCUUCUCCCAAAGUGGUGAUGCAUUGGCAUCAGCAAGGAUGCCCAGUGAGGUGAUGGAGUGACUGGCCCUGGAUGUGUUCAAGAACUGUGUAGAUGUGUCACUGAGGGAUGUGGUCAGUGGGCGCUAUUGGUGGCAGGUGGAUGGUUGAACUAGAUGAUCUUCGUGGUCUUUUCCAACCUUACUGAUUCAAUGACUCACAUCGGCCUUUCUCUCUUACCAGUGGGAAGUAAGGAGGAAGAAUGCUUAGAAGAAAGGCUGAUGGCCUGUUUCCACCAGCAGUGGAAGAAAGAGUGAGGCAGGACUGGGAAGGAUAAAGCUAUCCCUGCCAGCUGGGAGCCAACAGACAGGCUGAGUUUCACGAGCAGCACUGCACCAACUGACAGAUGUCAUGCCCAGGCUGGCCUGCUUUAUGUAAUUUCUGCUCAGCAAUGUCUAGACAUACGUGGGGAUAGAGGCGUGACUGCGUUUAGAAAUGGGACCUGCUGAGUGGGAGUCCCAUGUGGUUAAUGCAAAGGCAUGAACUCCCAAGAGCUUUGGUAGAAGAUGACGACUUUGAGAAGAAAUUCAGUCAGUGGAAGAUGCUGGAAAUGUUUGGUUUCCUUUCUGAUGAGAGCUUGCUUUUCUAUCCUGUUAAAACAUGAACCUCGAGGAGAAGACUUUACAGCAAGGGAGGGAGUUGGUUUACCUUUUCCCCCUGCUGAGCUGUUCUUCCAGUUUAUACCUGCUCAGUGUCAUUAUAGACUUGAGCUCUCACUACCAGUAACGCUUUUGGCAGAAGAGCCUGGUUCUGGCUGGAUAGAACUAGGAAGUACUUCUGCUACUGCUUCUGGGAAUGGCAUAUUUCUGUAUUUAUGGAUGCCUAUUACAAGAACAUCCCCAUUUGUGGGGAAUGCUCUUCAUGUACUGCUUAGAAAUGCACGUGAAACUCAGGUUGCCCAUUCUUUUGGGCUUUCUGACGACUUCCGUGCAGCACCCAGGUGUAUUAUAAGGCACUCAGAAUAAGGGAGAAAUUGCAAGAAAUGGUUCAGAGAAUAAAUAAGCAAAGGAGAUGAAUCUGGCAAAAUCAUUGGAUUUGGGUGAGUAGGGAUUUGUGGGAAUGAAUGCACUUUCUGUGUAAGAAAUGAAAUGUAGACACACAGAAGCGAACUACCUUCCCAAGGAGUUUCUGCAGAAGUAAUGCAUCUUCUGAACAAAGACCAGGUGGGAAAUGAAGUGUGAUGUAUAAAAGAGCAGUGCUGUAUGAGUGCACCCCUUCCCAUGCCUCAAAACUAAAAACUCAGGCCACUAGCAGAGAUAUAAAUGUAAGGAG